UACGAGGGGGGCAAGCGUUGUUCGGAAUUAUUGGGCGUAAAGGGUGCGUAGGCGGUCUGAUAAGUCAUCUGUGAAAUCUAUGGGCUCAACCCAUAGUCUGCAGGCGAAACUGUCGGGCUUGAGUAUGGGAGGGGAGACUGGAAUUCCUGGUGUAGCGGUGAAAUGCGCAGAUAUCAGGAGGAACACCGGUGGCGAAGGCGGGUCUCUGGACAUUUCCUGACGCUGAGGCACGAAAGCCAGGGGAGCAAACGGG
rnacentral:rRNA from 1 species